rnacentral:tRNA from 2 species
GGUUUUGUAGUGUAGCGGUUAUCACUCCGGAUUCUGAUCAUCUCAGUGUCUUCCGGCAACCCCGGUUCGAUUCCGGGCAAGACCU